UACGUAGGGUCCGAGCGUUGUCCGGAAUUAUUGGGCGUAAAGGGCUCGUAGGCGGUCUGUUGCGUCGGGAGUGAAAACUUACAGCUUAACUGUGAGCGUGCUUCCGAUACGGGCAGACUUGAGGUAUUCAGGGGAGAACGGAAUUCCUGGUGUAGCGGUGAAAUGCGCAGAUAUCAGGAGGAACACCGGUGGCGAAGGCGGUUCUCUGGGCAGUAACUGACGCUGAGGAGCGAAAGCGUGGGGAGCGAACAGG
rnacentral:rRNA from 1 species